ACAAGCGGUGGAGCAUGUGGUUUAAUUCGAUGAUACGCGAGGAACCUUACCUGGGCUCAAAUGUAUGUUGACGUAUUCUGAAAAGGGAUACUUCUUCGGACAAUAUACAAGGUGCUGCAUGGUUGUCGUCAGCUCGUGCCGUGAGGUGUCGGGUUAAGUCCCAUAACGAGCGCAACCCCUAUCAUUAGUUGCCAUCAGGUCAAGCUGGGGACUCUAAUGAAACUGCCUACGCAAGUAGUGAGGAAGGUGGGGAUGACGUCAAAUCAGCACGGCCCUUACGUCCAGGGCUACACACGUGUUACAAUGGCCGGUACAGAGGGCAGCCACCCCGCGAGGGGGCGCGAAUCCCGAAAGCCGGUCCCAGUUCGGAUCGGAGUCUGCAACCCGACUCCGUGAAGCUGGAUUCGCUAGUAAUCGCGCAUCAGCCACGGCGCGGUGAAUACGUUCCCGGGCCUU
rnacentral:rRNA from 1 species